rnacentral:lncRNA from 1 species
GAGAGAGAUCACAAAGCAGAAAGCUCACAGUGGAGGAGAAGCAACAGAAUAAAGAGAAGAGACUCUACAGAGAUCUGGAGAUGAAGUCGUGGAGUCGCCUCUGCUUCCUCGUUAUAGCAAUUUCUUCAAUUUCCAGAGGACAAAAUGUCAUGACUGUUGCUCCAGAUCCUCAAGGGACCCCCAGCCCGUUACCAAGUGAAACCUCCUCGUCCCCUCAGAGUCGAACAUCGGCCAACGCAACGGAUCCAACCGUCUCCACGACCGAAGCAGAAGGAACGUCGGCCACGACGGAGCGGGUUACCGGCAGCGCCGCGGCUCAGACGACGGCGGCCUCGGGCGGUGCCACGUCACCCGAUGGAGAAGAAGUGACGUCGGCAGCCAGCAGCUUGGCGACAACAGUAACAAUUGAAGAGGCGGGUCAUUCGUCCUGGGGCUACGUGAUCCUCGUAUUGAUCCUCCUGGUGAUCAUUUUUCUGUGUGUCAUCCUCUACUUUCUCAGGAAGGUCUCCAGGACGUACUCGUUUGAGCUCCAUCGCCAGGCGCCGGCCAACCAUCUGAACGAACCCAUCGGCACCUUCGAACAAGUCUACCUGGGCGACCUGGACCGAGUGACCUCCGGUGACCUUACGCUUCCUCCCGUGACCGACGGCUCCACGGCGCCGUCGGAUUCAGCCCACAACUUCUCUCGUUCUGCUCCGCAGGAACAGCCGGACGCAAGCGGCAAGGAGGCGUCGCCCACCAGUAACACCAGUCCCUCACUGGGCCGCCGCCCGGCUAGCGACACGCCCAGUCCACUGAGCUGCACCAACAUGUUCUUCCAUGCCACUGGUGAGGAGCAGAACGAAAACAACAACCCAUCGGUUUGCUCCAGCGACUCGUUUGUUGAAAUAAACCUCGAUGAGGCGGCGUUGUGCGACCAGCUCCUCACCUCCCCUGAGGCUCCUCCUUCUUCUGUCCUCCCUUUCUCUCCGUUCUCCUUCUCCUCCUCCUCCUCCUCCUCUUCAUCAUCUUUGCACCUCCAUUGA